rnacentral:rRNA from 1 species
AUUGAACGCUGGCGGCAGGCCUAACACAUGCAAGUCGAGCGGCAGCGGGAAAGUAGCUUGCUACUUUUGCCGGCGAGCGGCGGACGGGUGAGUAAUGCUUAGGAAUCUGCCUAUUAGUGGGGGACAACAUUCCGAAAGGAAUGCUAAUACCGCAUACGCCCUACGGGGGAAAGCAGGGGAUCUUCGGACCUUGCGCUAAUAGAUGAGCCUAAGUCGGAUUAGCUAGUUGGUGGGGUAAAGGCCUACCAAGGCGACGAUCUGUAGCGGGUCUGAGAGGAUGAUCCGCCACACUGGGACUGAGACACGGCCCAGACUCCUACGGGAGGCAGCAGUGGGGAAUUUUGGACAAUGGGCGCAAGCCUGAUCCAGCCAUGCCGCGUGUCUGAAGAAGGCCUUCGGGUUGUAAAGGACUUUUGUCCGGGAGCAAAUGCCUGGUGUUAAUAGCAUCGGGAGCUGAGAGUACCGGAAGAAUAAGCACCGGCUAACUACGUGCCAGCCGCCGCCGUAAAAC